ACAGAGAGAGAGAGAGAGAGAGAGAGGUAGAGACACAGGCAGAGGGAGAAGCAGGCUCCAUGCAGGGAGCCCGAUGUGGGAUUCGAUCCCGGGUCUCCAGGAUCGCACCCUGGGCCAAAGGUAGGCGCUAAACUGCUGUGCCACCCAGGGAUCCCUGUAGUGUAUAAUAUAAAACUAAGCAACCAAAAAGAAUUAGCAAUAAUAUUUGAUACAUAUUUUCUAAGACAGAAUUUAAAUCUACAUAAUGAUAAAAUGUGAAUUACUAACUUAUAGAGAGAGCAGUUGUUUCUAUAAAAUUAAAAAUGCUUUUAUGAUUCAGAUAAUUAAACAAAAUAGGAAAACAUUCUUUUUAAAUAUAAACAGAUUAUUUAGAGAAUUGAGUUGACUAUCACAUCAAGAACUAUUUUUUUUUUAAUUUUAAGAUUUUAUUUUAUUGGGGGCACCGGGGUAGCUCAGUCGGUUAAGUGCUGGACUCUUGAUUUUGGCUCAGGUCAUGAGAUCUGCUAGGCCCCCCCAACAUCAGACUCUGGGCUCAGGGCUCAGCACCAAGUUUGCUUGAGACCCUCUCCCUAUCCCUCUACUCCUCCCCCUGCACUCUCUUUCGCUGUCUUUCUCUAGCUCUCUCUCAAAUAAAUCAAUGAAUCUUUUUAAAAAAGAGAGAGCCACCCAGGGACCCCAUAUCAAGAACUAUUUUAAAUAAUUUUCACUAGUGAACUUUGAAAUGAUUAAUACCUAAUACAAAAAGGUAGAUCAUUUUCGAUAAAAAGUAAAAUAACACCAAGUACCAGUUCCAAAUAAUGGAUCCCCAAAGUCAUCAAUUUAUACUCACAAAAAGUCUUAAUUUUAGGGUGGUAGGAGCACAUGUUGAUAUAGACAUGCGUGGAAUUAAAACAGACAGGUGAAAUGCUGCAGUUUAAUCCAUGACAACAAAAGAGAUUAUUCUAUAGAAAUUCCAAGAACAUAUUUGUAGACUUCAGAAUAAACCCUUGGGUUUUCUUAGAUCUCUAUCAAAGUGCAUUGGACUCACUUCAACUAUAUAUUUUAAGGUGACGUAGUCUUUGUGUUUGAACCAUUUAAUCAUAUUAAAUUCUAAAGGAUACAAUUAUUAUUUUCAACCAUGUAACUCCUCACCCCUCAUUUCCAGUCUUGAUUCCUACAUGUCCUACCUAGUAUGAUAUCCAAGUAAGCAGUAGACACGUGGUUUGGCAUGUAAGUUUUCACACGGCUUUUCUUAUGCAAAGUCUCAAGAUAAUACCUGACAGGGGUCUGUUUGGGGAUCAAAGACAAUAUUUUCUUCAUUGAAUCAAUCAUUUAGAAAUUUAGAAAACAAAAAGAAAUGUGAGUUAAAGAAAAUAAUUCAUGGCAUGGACGAAGACGCUCCUUGGUGCACUGUUUGUCCUUCAAUGACAUCUCUGGAGGGUGGGCUAUCAUUGAAAGAACAGAAUGAAGUCACACCAAUGAAGUGUCACAUAUUCUCUACCUGCCAUCUCAUUUAAUCCUCCCAUGCUAUGAGGAAAAUACUUUUAUUUCCAUCUUAUACAUGAAAAUGAGGCUCAGAGGGAUACGGAGCUUGUUGAAGGCUUAUAAAUUUGGGGAACAGAAUGCAUGUCUUGGGCAAGUUUCUUUGCUUGGUUCCUUGGUGAUCUAACCCAGUCUCAAAGCUCAAAUACCAUCUGUAUGGAGACAACUCCCAACAUCAUCCAAACUCCAGCCUUAGCUGCUUCCUUGGUGUUUAACCAGGCGUGCUCUCACGGUAGGAAUUUGGCACUGACUGUUCCCUCCACCUGAAGAGCUCUUCUCCCCGGUGCACAUAUGGCUUGUUCCUUUACUCCCUUUAAGUCUUUUCCAACUAUCACCUGUUGGUGAGGCUUACUCUGACCAAUUCAUUUUGAAUUAGAAAUGAUCUCUUCAGGCCCCAACAUCCCCCACACCCCUUCUCUGUUUUACUAUCUUCACUGUGGCCCUUACCGUCUUUGAACGUAUUGUAAAAAUCACUCACUCAUUUUGUUUAUAGUCUGUUUCCCCUAAAGUAGGAUGUCAGUUCCAUGAGUACAAGGGUUUUGGUCUGUUUAGUUCACUGUUGUCACCCAAGAGCCUAGAACUGAGCCUGGCACCAUAAAUACCUUCAACAAAAUGAAUGAAUCAAACUAACUUGAGAUUCUAGUCACUAUUGACUAUCAAUCCUAUCUCAGCACACUUCUCCUUCCUUCUUGUCUCUCACUAAGGAAGACUCUGCCCUAAGUUUAAAUAUCCCUGGAUUGAUUAUCACAAAUUCUAUAAACAUCUGACUGUUCAAUUGCAGUGGAAUCCUCACAAAGAAACACGCCAAGUCUUUGCCAAUCCAAAUCACAAUAUGAAAAUGUGCUCAUCCUUCACUGAAUUUUUAUUAGCCAUUUUUUCCAAAGACUCCCAUCUUAAUGUCUAAAUUCUUUAUCCUACAGGAACCUUAGGGAAUAAGAACACAUGAGAAGAAGAACGAAAUAAAAUAAAUGUAAAAUGGUGGAGUAUGAAAACAAAAUCUGGUGAAAAAAAUAGAAUGAAAAAUAAAUGCAAAGAUAAACAGGAAAAGUAUUUACAAAAGCUUCUCAACAAGGAUGUAUGUCCAUGACAUGGAAAUUAAUUUUUUAAAGUCUGUAUUGUGAAAAAAAAAAUCUACAAAAGCAUGAGGAAUAAGAAUAAAAGAGAAAGGGUAGAAGUCCCAUCACCUGAAAAAAAAAAAAAAAUAGCCUAUCAAACUGCUGGUAAAAGGUAUUGCAAACUUUCUGGAAAAACAAGCCAAUUAUCUGUCCAUGAAAAGCAGGGUUAAGAAUGAAAGGCAACAAACUUUCAUUGAACCCACUCUAUACCAAUGUAUUUCAAAUUUAGUAACAUGCUGAUGCUCAAAGAGGUUAGUUAACUGAGACCAUAAAAUGGCCAGAAACAGAGAUCGGAUUAGAAACCAUAUUUACCUGAUUCUAAAGCUCAAUGCAUGCAAUUAAAAAACAAUACCUUUUCUCUGCUAUAGGUCAAAGCAAAACUUUUUGGAGCCAAAUGGCAAACACAAUUGGGAAAAAAAAACAAAAAAACAAAAAACACUGUCUACCAUACUACCUAUCCUGAAAAAUCCCUGCUUUUACUUGUCUUAUUAGCCCACUCCAGGACCCCAAUAACUGGUAAACUACUCUUCUUCGGAGACUGAAUUCAGGUGCCUUUCCCUCCUACUAUUUUUCCCCUUGUCACAUUAUCACUGAUCAUCACCUGCACUUCUCAAACACAGCAUUUAUUACCCUGUCUAUGCAAUCCUACCGGCAGAGGUUGAGAGGAAGUCUUCCAGUAGCAUGGAACAAACCACUGGGGGAGGCAUCAGAGUGGUCCAACAGUCUUUCAAACAUUUACUGAGAGCCCACUGGGGCUAAGCUCUCAAUCUGCUUGAUACUUGGAAGACACAGCAAAAGAACCACAAGUCCUCCUGUCUUAGUCUAUUCAGGCUAUUAUAACAAAAUACCACAGACUGGGUGGUUUAAAAACAACAGAAAUUUCUCAGUCUGGAGGCUGGAAAUCUGAAAUCAGUGUGCCAGAUGGGUUCAGUGAGGGCCCUCUUCCAAGUCACGGACUUCUCUUUGUCUCCUCACAUGGAGGAAGGAGCAAGAGAGCUCUGUGGGGACUCAUAAAAUCACUACUCCCAUUCCUGGGGACGACACCACUUUCAUGAUUUAAUCACUUCCCAAAGACCCCAUUUCCUAAUACCAUCACAUUGGACACUGCAACGUCAACAUACAAAUGUGACGGUGACAGUGGGGAGACACAAGACAUUUGGACUAGAGGGCCUCCCUUUCACGGAGUCUGGAUAGGGCGACAGAAACAGAAGAUGAUGGGCUGCAAAAGCUCAGGGCGGUAUUUGAGAUGCCAGCCUUGGCCAUGGCACAGGGCUGGGAGGGAACCGAGGCCAAUAAAACAUCCAAUGCUAGGGCAGACAUGGUGACAGGGAAGUUAGAAGCAGGUACAAUCACACAAAGACAAAGAGCUAUCGUGAAGGGGUGCCAAGACCUCAGUAAGGCUCAGGGUCACACGCUCGGUCAAAGCACCUAUUUACAGAGAAUCCAGCAGAUAUCCAUUUCCUAAGUGGAGAACAGCAAAAUAAGAAUGAGGUCUCAGAAGCCAACCAAAAAGUCAAAUUAUCACUAACUUGGUGCAUCUCCAAAUUCCAGAGCUCUUUAUGAAUCUAUGUCAUGUCCUUGCACUGUCUGGAAAAGGUGGGAUUUUGCUACAGCUACAGCUCUAGCUAUUGCUCUAUUUACGUUAGCUUUGGGAAAGAACUGCAGAGGCUAGGAAUUGGGGGUGGUCAACACAGAUCAGGGUAAAAAGUAAAGUUUGCAUUCAUUACGCUUCUAAGUAUUCAUCUGCAAUCCUGCCCAAUCAUGAGCAACCGUAAGAAAAAAAAAAAACCUGACAAUUAUUCAAAAUAUCUAAAUAUUACCCACAACAGUCCUUGAAAGAGAAUUAUCUGUGCUAAUAAUAAAGAAAAAAAGAGAAAGGAUGGGGAAAAUGUGGACAGGGCUAAGUUAGGAUAGAAAACAAGGUAAAAAGUAAAAAGCAGCAGAGAGUAGAAAGAGAGACAGAAAAAAGAAACAUCUCUUGCCCUUCUCUUCUAUAAACCAUCUGUGAACCCGUGGAUUUCGUUGCCUCAUGGCUUUAGUAAACAUGGUUGGGGCCGCAGCAUGGGAAAGAGGCCUACUCCAAAAGUUCUUCACUGGGGUCAGACUUC
rnacentral:lncRNA from 1 species